UCCCGUCUCCUCUGCCCGGCUAUGCGGGACACGGGAGAAGAGUGCCCCAGUUCAGGCUCUGAGGACCUGGGAAAGGGCCGGGCCGCAGGUCGGGACCAGCCCAGAAGCGGCACCCAGACCGGUUCCUCCGGUUCCAGGACUCUGGGCGAGGUCCAGCCGCUCGAGGGAGGGCGCGACUCAGGCCUCGCCGUGGCCCACUUGCUUGCCAGGCGGGGCAGGGACCGGAUCGUCGCGAGGGAAUCUGAGCCUGAGCCCGGGGCGCCGGAGGUGAGCAACUUAGUCAACGCGCGGGGCGGGGCAACCCGGUGCCAAUCACAACCGAGGGGGCGGGGUCAUGCAAAUCAACCCCGUCUCCGCGCCCCGCCCCCGCGCGCUGCAGCAGCGACUUCCAAGAACUCCCCGCGCCGUCCUUGGCCCGGGCCACGCCCCUCGCCCGCAAACCGGUCACUUCCGGAUUCCGCCCAGACCCUCCGCGCCUGGCCCGCCCCCGCCCUCCCAGGGCCACGGGGGCGGGGCUUACGGGCAGCGCGCGAAGGCGGAGGCGGAGGCUGCGCCCCGGCCUGGGGCGAGAGGGGCUGGGGUGUCGCGGCUUCUGUACCGCCCGCAGGGGUUCGGCUCCAAGUCUGGCUCGGCCCAGGAUUUCCUCUGCCCACCACCGUGUCAAGAGGAGCUCGGGUCUCCCUGAAUUUGUGUCCAGGAGAGCUGACUCCCCAGGGGCUGCUCCCUCCCCUGGCCCUUUUUGGGGAAGCCCAGCCCAGCUGCCCUUCCCGGCCCUGUCUUCCACCCUCCCGGACCAGUUGGCCCCAGGUCACCCCCACUCCCCGGCACACUGUAGAGUCUCAGGAAAUAACGUCAGCCUUCACGCCCCCCGCAUCACCACCAGCCAGCCUGGGGUCCUGCCUCCCCAGCCGUCUGGCCACUCGCCUGGCACCAAUUAAUUUCCUGCUCAGCCAGUCCACCACAUCUGGUAGCCAGCUGCUCGCCGUAGCCCUGCCCUCCCCAGGGGCUCCCGGGGAAUUGCUAACAGUUCUCGUCUUCCCGGCUCCACCCCUCCCCCAAUCCAGGGACCCCACCCGAGUCUGCUAAUCGGAAAAAGCUGACAGUGCCCGGAGCAGAAAUGAGAAAUCAGUUGGAGGAGGGGUGGGUGAGAAACUUUCGGACCCAGCUCAGGGUGGGGGCGGAGGUAGGGGAGGCCGUGGAGGGAGGCACGGGACCGAGUUGUACCUAAAAGCCUGAGAUCAAAGCCUUCUGGCUUCCAGAUGGGGACUUCGGGGAGGGCUGUCCCGCCCCCCAGGGGCAGGCGAGGUGGAGCCCCCCUUCCUCGGAAACCCCCUGAGACGCAGCAGUGACAGCUGUGACUUCCCCGGCCUGGGACCGGCCGGUUUCCUUUUCCUGAGCUCGCCCUCCCAAGGGCUGGCUUUCAGCCUGGAGAGACCUCCGGGCCCCUUUGAAGGGGGUCCCCAGAGGGUCUUCCUGGCUGGGGGGAGGGGCGGGCUGGAGAACAAUGGGGCUUCUGUGGCUCCUGGACGCCGGGCGCUUCCUGUUAACCCUUCCCUGGGGGGGGCGCUGCAGGGAGCGCCUCCCAGGCCCCUCCUUGCUGGGGCAGGGGGACUCGUGUUGGGAGAAUUAGCGGGCGUGUUAAUUGAGGCUUGGUGAAAGUGAUGAGGAACUGGCCAGGUUACCCCAGGAUCUCUGGGAGGCUGGACUGCGAUGGAGUGGGGACGGCCCAGGUAAGUGCAAGGAACAGCCACGUCUGCAAAGCACUGUUGGAGCUGCCUUGCUGGGGUUCAACAGCGGCCACGCCCCCUGAGCCGGUUCCCCCAGCAGUCUGGGCCUCAGUUUCCCUCAGCGUGGGGAGUUCUCCCAAGAGCACAAGAUCAGUCCAGGAGCUCCCUACGGGGCUGGAGUGGACCAGGAGCCUUGGAAACAAAUGGCUUGCUCCUCCUUGCAGCCCCGGGAAGUCACGUUGGGGGAAUUAGCUGGUGUGUUACCGGAGGCCUCACCCACAGUCCCCUGUUGACAAAGACAGGCUGAGAAUUGCCCUCCGAAGAUUCCCUGAGCCUGGAAGGGCCCCCAGAGACUCAGCAUCCGCCCCAGGGGCUUCCGGUCGGUUCCAGGCUGGUCAGAAGAGACACGCGGCUCCCUCACGUAGUCACCUCGUCCCCACUGCAAGCCCGGGUCAGGAUAAAACCGGGCACUUUCAGUUAGCUCUGUUUUACAGAUGGGGAAAUCGAGGCACAGGGAUUAAGCGACAUGUCCUGGGUCAUUAGUUUAGUAAAGCAAAGCCCAUUGUUUCUCU